GAUCCCUGCCUACAAGAAGCUUACAGUCUAUAGUCAGAAGUUAGGAUUCAAGGUGAAAAACAGAAAAAUCUCCAAAGGUGGCCAGGGCCCCUCUAGACUGUAAACUCCUUGUGGGCGGGGAUU
rnacentral:pre_miRNA from 1 species